GUGGUGGCCAUCCUAGUCACACUUUGUGCGCAGAUGUGUUUAUCUGCUACUAAUUAUUAUCCAAAUGAUUUGCAUCUUCUCUCGGACUCGGCCCAACUCCCCUUUGUGAGCGAACCGCUGCCUAUUUUUGCCUCGCUUGUUAAAUGAGUUGCUUUAGCGGGUGAAUUUUGCGGUGCUGAUUCAGAAGCUGCAGGACAAUCUCCUCUAAGACCCUGCACCCUCUGCUGUGGCUGUGGCCAUGGGAUGGGGGGAGAUGGCCUCGGGGACCUCCCACAAGCAAUGGCCACUGGGUUUGCGUUGUUUUACUCAGAGAGCCUUCAUCCCGAUGCUGGGGAGGAUGGGGCACAGGGUCAGUAUGAGGUCCACCGGGUUUAACCGAGGGAUUGUAGCAUCUUCUGGAGCUUCUUUAACAAAACAGUAAGGCUGCUUCAGGUGUGUAGUGCCACCGCUACAAACAGCUCCCAGCAAAGGUGAGUCUUAUUCCUAACUCAUUCUCCCAGGCUCAUUUUUCUGUCUUCACGAGAAAUGCAAAUAUGGAUUUUAAAAUAGUCAUUAACAGCUUCAGUGGUAAAUAUUUAACCCAGCAACCUUGUACUUUCUCCUCCCUCUGUCUCCCGGGGGACGUGCACAGUGGAGGUGAGCUGGCGGGAGAAAGUGCAGAUUAUGCAGGUCUUGAUAGAUCACUUUGGUCCUUUUAUCAAAGCAUCUUCCUACCCGAGUUAUUUCCCCCCUGCUUCAGCUGUUCACUGCCUGAGCUGGCCCUGGCCCACUGGUGGGCACUGUGUGUGGGGGGGUUACGGCGGGGUUUUCUGGCGAAGGUUCAGCCCCCUGCAGGGGAGGGCUGUGUUGGGGACACAGCGUUAGGAGUCACCAAACCCAGGGCUGGCUAACGGGGCACCGCAGCUCUGGCUGCCUGUCCUAGCAGAAAUUAAAGAGAAUUUGUGUCUCUGAGAUCUUAGGAGGCCAUGACCUGGAAGUAGCUUUUAACGAAUGGAGACAGUCUUGAAAAGUCCCUUGCAGACCUUAGCUGCAAGGUCAGACCUUACCUGCUCUGCGCCUCACUGAUUUUAAUUUCCCACACGAGCUGCUGGCUAAUUCAAGCCAGAAUUGUGGCUUUAUUUUGUUUUCCAGUUCUUAUCUCCAGGUGACACGGAACUGCUCCCCAUCCAAACUGCCAGAACAAUUUUCACCCGACAUCCACACCUUUGGUCCUGGAGUGUUCGAGGAGGGACCACGCUCCCAUUACUGUUGAUAGAAAAAGGCACCCAGUUGGCUUCCUAUGGAAGCAGCAUGGAAACAGGGAUAAAAGCGAUUGAAACAGAUAGCAGGGCUGCGAGGGGAUGCUGUGAACAGAGCAUGCUUUGAUUAACACAGCAAUUAGAGCAUCUAGGGGAGCAGGAGAGAGAAAGCUGUCCAAAGGGGUUUCAGUCUCAGAGAUUCCUGGUGGACUCUUUCAGAGAAGUUGUUAUAUCCGAAGAAAUUUGAAUUUUUCCCAAAGAGGUGGAAGCUGCUCCUCCGCUGGCACAGGUGCUCCCUGCCCCCCCCUGCAGUGGGACAGGGUGGGGUGCUCGGGUGGGAUGAAGGGGUUUUCCUGCAGCCAGCGACGAGCAGCUUUUCAUUUACUCACUCGGGCAUGUUCAGUACUAAAAAUGUUGCACCCAGCUCCAAAACCUGAGUGACACAGCCCGCAUAAGAGAUGAUCUGAGUGCUUUCCUCUGCUGUUUCCCACAUGCAGGACAAUGCUGACAGAUGUGGGAGGGCGGUGGGGGUUGAUCAGGCCCCAAACCCCAUCCCAAGGCAUCAACAUCAUCACUGCCAGCUGCUGGAAGGCACAGCCAGCGUCCUUCUUCCUUGUACUCCAGGGUUAAAAGAAGAAAAAAAAAAAAAAAGGGAAGGGAGAGAAACUGAGUUCUCGUUUUGUUGCCAUAGCAGCCUUCUGGAUUAUUUAGACUGAUAGCAUUUGUAAAAAUUCAACAAACGGUAGAGGAUCUCUUGGAAAUGGGAGCAGAUGUAACAUUGCGUGCCAUAUGCCACUGGGAGAAAAUCUAUUGGCAAAGGCAACAUCAUCAGAGUGAAAGCCUAACCCAUAUUGUGCAGUGGAAAAUGUCACUUUCCCUAGAUUACAGGGUAGAGCUAUAAAGCAGAGAAAAUUAUGUUCACAUAUAUAAUUGCUGAAAGACGUUCAGCAAAGAGCCGAGCCGCUGCUGUGGGAAGGUGGGCUUUUUCUCCCAUCCAGAACUUGAUGAACCGCCAUGUGAUACAAAGAAAAGGUUGUUAACAUUAAAAAUUAAUUAACCCUCACACGCAGCUUAAUGGAACUCACUCCUGAGAAAUCCUGCCCGCACAAUAGAUGAAUUAUAAGGGUCUCUGCGAGAGCGGGUGAGUGUCAGAAGGACGGGGCCAGGCUCUUUUCAGUGGUGCCCAGCGACACGACAAGGAACAACGGGCACAAACUGCAGCACGGGAACUUCCGUCUGAAUAGGAGGAAAAACUUCUUCACGUUGAUGGUGCUGGAGCCCUGGGACAGGCUGCCCAGACAGGCUGUGGGGUCUCCUUCUCCAGAGAUGUGACCCUGUGCGACCUGCUCUAGGUGACCCUUUACUGGUCUGGGUGGUCUCCAGGGGGCCCCUUCCCACCCCAACUGUUCUGUGAUUCUAUGAUCUGAGGCCAGCCCAUCCAACACUUGGGGGGUGGAAGCCUGGUGGGGGGAAGCUGUGGUUCUCAGGGGUCUCCUAUUGCUUGGUUGUGAUGUUGAUGAAGAAAGCCCUGGCAGCUGCCUGCCCCUGGCAUUCCCCACCAGCAGCUUCACAGGGCAAAAGUUCCUAUUUUCCGUAAAACUCACUGCUGGUGUUUGCAGGAAGCUGAACUCCCCACUUCGGCACAUUCUCCCCAGCUCUUCAUUGCUCAGAAAAAAGGAGAAAUUAAUAAUGAUUUUUAAAAAAAGGAUAGAAACUUGUUAACCCACAGAUUUUUUUGAUCAAGAGCAGUUCCCUGGGGUAAAUAAGAAGCAGCAGUGGGGGGAUGGUGGAGCUGGUUUCCCCCCGCAGCUGCCGGGGAGCACGGGGACCUGUCCCAGUGCCAGUGGUGGCCGGGCUUGUCCUCCCCACGCCUCUCCCCAUGCCUCCAGCAAGCCCGGCCAUCACCCUGGGCACCACUGCCUGUGGGCGGCUGGGCUUUUUUUUCCUGUCUGCUUUCAAGGGAGAUGUUUCUACCCGCUGGAAGUCUUCACGGCAGUUUGUAAUUUGGAGCACAGCUGCGAGGACCACCUCGCAUCACCAGGACCCUUCGCUGAAGCUCCCUUCGAUGGAGAGGCAGGCAUGCCCAGGUACCUCCAGGAACAUGAGCCGAUCAGGGCUUUCGGAAGCCAGGUGGAGCGAUGGAAAACCCCAGGCGAAGGCUGCUGCCAGCUCCGUGCCACCUUGCGGUGCCGGCACCCGGCGCGCAGUGCCGGGGAUGAGCUGACUCUGGCCGAGACAUCAGCAGCGCUGCUGAAACCACUGGUGUCCGCACCAACACAGCCCCGCAUCGGCUGAGCGCGGAUGUGAUUACUUGCUUUGUCCUACAUGUAUAUUUCUAGGAAUCAAUAGCUAUAAUCUCACCAGAGCACACCUUAGCAUAGCCUAAUAAAUCAU